rnacentral:rRNA from 1 species
UACGGAGGGUGCAAGCGUUGUCCGGAUUUAUUGGGUUUAAAGGGUGCGUAGGCGGCUGAUUAAGUCAGCGGUGAAAUUCCACAGCUCAACUGUGGAACUGCCAUUGAUACUGGUUAGCUUGAGUACAGAUGAGGUAGGCGGAAUUGACAGUGUAGCGGUGAAAUGCUUAGAUAUUGUCAAGAACACCUAUUGCGAAGGCAGCUUACUAAGCUCAAACUGACGCUGAGGCACGAAAGUGUGGGGAUCAAACAGG